AGUGAACGCUGGCGGUAGGCCUAACACAUGCAAGUCGAACGGCAGCACCGUAAUAGCUUGCUCUUACGGGUGGCGGGUUGCGGACGGGUGAGGAAUACAUCGGAAUCUACUUUUUCGUGGGGUAUCACGUAGGGAAACUUACGCUAAUACCGCAUACGACCUACGGGUGAGAGCAGGGGAUCUUCGGACCUUUCGCGAUUGAAUGAGCCGAUGUCGGAUUUGCUGGUUGGCGGGGUAAAGGCCCACCAAGUGGACGAUUCGUAGCUGGUCUGAGAGGAUGAUCAGCCACACUGGAGCGGGAACACAGUCCAAGCGCCUAAGGGAGGCAGCAGUGGGGUAUAUUGGACAAUGGUAGCAAGCCUUAUCCAGCCAUACGGAGUGGGAUGAAAAGGCCUUCGGGUUGGAAAGACCUUUUGUUGGUAAAAAAAAGCAGUAGGUUAAUACCCCGCGGGUCUGACGGUACCCGAUGAAGAAGCACCGGCUAACUUCGUG
rnacentral:rRNA from 1 species